rnacentral:rRNA from 1 species
CAGUCGCCACGGGAAUACGUAGGGUGCAAGCGUUAAUCGGAAUUACUGGGCGUAAAGCGUGCGCGGGCGGUUUGUUAAGACAGAUGUGAAAUCCCCGGGCUCAACCUGGGAACUGCAUUUGUGACUGGCAAGCUAGAGUGCGGCAGAGGGGGGUGGAAUUCCGCGUGUAGCAGUGAAAUGCGUAGAGAUGUGGAGGAACACCGAUGGCGAAGGCAGCCCCCUGGGCCAAUACUGACGCUCAUGCACGAAAGCGUGGGGAGCAAACAGGAUUAGAGACCCCCGUAGUCCCUGUCUCUUAUAC